rnacentral:tRNA from 1 species
GCGGGAUUAGCUCAGUUGGUAGAGCGAUACCAUGCCAAUGUAAAGGUCGAGAGUUCGAGUCUCUUAUCCCGCUCCA